CUUCUAAUCACUUUUCUUAAACUCUUCUCCUUGGUGAUCCGGGUCUGGAUCCAUCACAUGUCUCCCUACGACGAGUGCUGCCUGCCGCCGGGGGUGGUAUGCCCUGAGCCAUUUGCCCUCACCUCCAAUGAGACCUGUGUCAUAAAAUACCCCGACACGAUAGUGGACAUAGUGGACCCUGACUCGCCACCAUAUUCUGUGAUCUAUCCAGGCCCAACUCUCACCACUUUCCCUCAGCAAACCAUAGUGGGAUCUACUGCGCUGUUCGAUAUUGGGAAUUUACUUGGUUCCAGGGGAUCUCUUGGGUUCAGGGGCAUGUGUGGUUCUGGGACAGCAUGUAACUCAGGAUUACCAUUUUUUGAUGCAGGAAACUGUAAUACUUUGUCUCCUCACUUCUCCAAGCCAUUUUGUUAUAGAACUUGCAGGCCAGCCUAAAUCCAUGGAUAUCCGUGCUGGAUUAAGUAAAAACGAGAACUGAAAAGACAGAUCAUGACUAAGUUUAUGGAUAAUGGGUUGUAGAAGUGCUGAGCUCCCACAGUUCCCAGUGGAGUCGAUAAAAGCAUGGCUUCCUGGCACUAGACCUGCAUGAGGACUAGAAUUUCCAAACUACAAGAAAUUGGAAUUUCACCAUUGAUCUUAUUCAAAAUUAGGAUGAAAUGAAAAAGAAUUCUUCAAGAAACGAGAUUUUCAAAAAUAUAUUUUUGGUUUGACAAAACUGUAUCUCUCAAUAAAUUAAAGAUUUUAUGCCAA